GAUGAACGCUGGCGGCGUGCCUAAUACAUGCAAGUCGAGCGAACGGACGAGAAGCUUGCUUUUCUGAUGUUAGCGGCGGACGGGUUAGUAACACGUGGAUAACCUACCUAUAAGACUGGGAUAACUUCGGGAAACCGGAGCUAAUACCGGAUAAUAUUUUGAACCGCAUGGUUCAAAAGUGAAAGACGGUCUUGCUGUCACUUAUAGAUGGAUCCGCGCUGCAUUAGCUAGUUGGUAAGGUAACGGCUUACCAAGGCAACGAUGCAUAGCCGACCUGAGAGGGUGAUCGGCCACACUGGAACUGAGACACGGUCCAGACUCCUACGGGAGGCAGCAGUAGGGAAUCUUCUGCAAUGGGCGAAAGCCUGACGGAGCAACGCCGCGUGAGUGAUGAAGGUCUUCGGAUCGUAAAACUCUGUUAUUAGGGAAGAACAUAUGUGUAAGUAACUGUGCACAUCUUGACGGUACCUAAUCAGAAAGCCACGGCUAACUACGUG
rnacentral:rRNA from 1 species